GACGAACGCUGGCGGCGUGCCUAACACAUGCAAGUCGAACGGGGUGGCGAAUAGAGCUUGCUCUAUUUGCCACCUAGUGGCGGACGGGUGAGUAACGCGUGAGCAACCUGCCUGUUAGAGGGGGAUAACGUUUGGAAACGAACGCUAAUACCGCAUAAAGUAUGUUUGUCGCAUGGCAGACAUACCAAAGGAGCAAUCCGCUAACAGAUGGGCUCGCGUCCGAUUAGCUAGUUGGUGGGGUAAUGGCCCACCAAGGCGACGAUCGGUAGCCGGACUGAGAGGUUGAACGGCCACAUUGGGACUGAGACACGGCCCAGACUCCUACGGGAGGCAGCAGUGGGGAAUAUUGCACAAUGGGGAACCCUGAUGCAGCGACGCCGCGUGAGGGAAGAAGGUCUUCGGAUUGUAAACCUCUGUCUUGGGGAAGAUAAUGACGGUACCCAAAGAGGAAGCCACGGCUAACUACGUGCCAGCAGCCGCGGUAAUAGUCACGUCCGCUGC
rnacentral:rRNA from 1 species